UUAUAUAUACGGUGCCUGCUCGCAGUGUGGUCUCCACUAUGGCGAUCUUCACUGAAUGCGACCAGCUUUCAGCAGUGACGGAUCUUUCUAAACUAUUUGAAGAUAGUAACGUGUAGGGAAGGUGUACUGUAGCUUCAACGAAUUUGAGAUGGCUAAGGGGUUGUUUAGAUCACGAAAAUUUUUGGCUUAGGUGUUAUAUCUGAUGUUUGAUCGGAUGUCAGAAGACUAUUUAGGUGACAAAUUAAAAAAACUAAUUAC
rnacentral:lncRNA from 1 species